AGGCUUAACACAUGCAAGUCGAGGGGCAGCAUGGUCUUAGCUUGCUAAGGCCGAUGGCGACCGGCGCACGGGUGAGUAACACGUAUCCAACCUGCCGUCUACUCUUGGACAGCCUUCUGAAAGGAAGAUUAAUACAAGAUGGCAUCAUGAGUCCGCAUGUUCACAUGAUUAAAGGUAUUCCGGUAGACGAUGGGGAUGCGUUCCAUUAGAUAGUAGGCGGGGUAACGGCCCACCUAGUCUUCGAUGGAUAGGGGUUCUGAGAGGAAGGUCCCCCACAUUGGAACUGAGACACGGUCCAAACUCCUACGGGAGGCAGCAGUGAGGAAUAUUGGUCAAUGGGCGAGAGCCUGAACCAGCCAAGUAGCGUGAAGGAUGACUGCCCUAUGGGUUGUAAACUUCUUUUAUAAAGGAAUAAAGUCGGGUAUGGAUACCCGUUUGCAUGUACUUUAUGAAUAAGGAUCGGCUAACUCCGUGCCAGCAGCCGCGGUAAUACGGAGGAUCCGAGCGUUAUCCGGAUUUAUUGGGUUUAAAGGGAGCGUAGAUGGAUGUUUAAGUCAGUUGUGAAAGUUUGCGGCUCAACCGUAAAAUUGCAGUUGAUACUGGAUAUCUUGAGUGCAGUUGAGGCAGGCGGAAUUCGUGGUGUAGCGGUGAAAUGCUUAGAUAUCACGAAGAACUCCGAUUGCGAAGGCAGCCUGCUAAGCUGCAACUGACAUUGAGGCUCGAAAGUGUGGGUAUCAAACAGGAUUAGAUACCCUGGUAGUCCACACGGUAAACGAUGAAUACUCGCUGUUUGCGAUAUACUGCAAGCGGCCAAGCGAAAGCGUUAAGUAUUCCACCUGGGGAGUACGCCGGCAACGGUGAAACUCAAAGGAAUUGACGGGGGCCCGCACAAGCGGAGGAACAUGUGGUUUAAUUCGAUGAUACGCGAGGAACCUUACCCGGGCUUAAAUUGCAGAUGAAUUACGGUGAAAGCCGUAAGCCGCAAGGCAUCUGUGAAGGUGCUGCAUGGUUGUCGUCAGCUCGUGCCGUGAGGUGUCGGCUUAAGUGCCAUAACGAGCGCAACCCUUGUUGUCAGUUACUAACAGGUUCCGCUGAGGACUCUGACAAGACUGCCAUCGUAAGAUGUGAGGAAGGUGGGGAUGACGUCAAAUCAGCACGGCCCUUACGUCCGGGGCUACACACGUGUUACAAUGGGGGGUACAGAGGGCCGCUACCACGCGAGUGGAUGCCAAUCCCCAAAACCUCUCUCAGUUCGGACUGGAGUCUGCAACCCGACUCCACGAAGCUGGAUUCGCUAGUAAUCGCGCAUCAGCCACGGCGCGGUGAAUACGUUCCCGGGCCUUGUACACACCGCCCGUCAAGCCAUGGGAGCCGGGGGUACCUGAAGUGCGUAACCGCGAGGAGCGCCCUAGGGUAAAACUGGUGACUGGGGCUAAGUA
rnacentral:rRNA from 1 species